AUGAACAUCGCCUUGCUGACCAGAUGGCUCUGGAGGAUUGCCAACGGUGAGGACGGGCUUUGGCUUGACAUCAUUAUAAACAAGUACCUUCGGGGCCAGCCGCUAGCCUUUUGCCAGCGCUCUGAAGGGUCCCAGUUCUGGCAAUCCAUCAUCCAGCUGCUUCCGGUCCUUCGCAUCAGUUCGUCCAUCUCGAUCGGCUCCGGCGCUGCUACAUUGUUCUGGUUCGAUCAUUGGGCGGGUGACGCCCCUUUUGCCGCUCGAUUCCCGGAUUUAUUUUCCACCGCGGUGGAGCCUAGGAUCUCGGUCGAGGUCGCUCUCUCGGACCUUGGGCGCCUCGCGUUCUGGCGCCCCUUUGGUCCCCCAGAUGUUGCUGCCUGGGAUGAGAUGCUCGAGUGCAUCUCCUUCCACACCCCCGACGUAGACAGGGUCUCGCAUCGCAUGUCGUGGCACCUUGAGCCCUCGAGCCGUUUCUCCACUCGGUCCUUGUACCAGGCCAUCGCCUCGUCGACGGCCCCGGCGGCUUUCACUGUUGUCUGGGCCAUCAAGCUGCCGCUCGAGAUAAGGAUAUUCCUAUUGCAAUGGAUUAGGGGUCGGAUACCUUCUGGGGUGGAGGUGCUCAAACGUAAUGGCCCUAGGGACGGAAUGUGUCCCCUCUGCGGUACAAUAGAGGAUGCGAACCACAUAUUCUUUGUGUGUGUCACGGCCCAAUUGUUGGGGAACGUAGUAAUUUCAAAAAAUUUCCUAUGCAUACGCAAGAUCAUGGUGAUGCAUAGGAACGAGAGGGGAGAGUGUUGUCCAUGUACCCUCGUAGACCAAAAGCGGAAGCGUUAG
rnacentral:rRNA from 1 species